rnacentral:rRNA from 1 species
UACGUAGGGUGCAAGCGUUGUCCGGAAUUAUUGGGCGUAAAGAGCUCGUAGGCGGCUUGUCACGUCGGGUGUGAAAGCCCGGGGCUUAACCCCGGGUCUGCAUUCGAUACGGGCUGGCAGGAGUGUGGUAGGGGAGAUCGGAAUUCCUGGUGUAGCGGUGAAAUACGUAGAUAUCAGGAGGAACACCGGUGGCGAAGGCGGCUAUCUGGCCCAAUAUUGACGCUGAGAUACGAAAGCGUGGGGAUCAAACAGG